rnacentral:rRNA from 1 species
GACGAACGCUGGCGGCGUGCUUAACACAUGCAAGUCGAACGGUAAGGCCCUUCGGGGUACACGAGUGGCGAACGGGUGAGUAACACGUGGGUGAUCUGCCCUGCACUUCGGGAUAAGCCUGGGAAACUGGGUCUAAUACCGGAUAGGACUCCUGGCUUCAUGGUUGGGGGUGGAAAGCUUUUGCGGUGUGGGAUGGGCCCGCGGCCUAUCAGCUUGUUGGUGGGGUAAUGGCCUACCAAGGCGACGACGGGUAGCCGGCCUGAGAGGGUGACCGGUCACACUGGGACUGAGAUGCGGCCCAGACUCCUACGGGGGGCAGCAGUGGGGAAUAUUGCACAAUGGGCGCAAGCCUGAUGCAGCGACGCCGCGUGAGGGAUGACGGCCUUCGGGUUGUAAACCUCUUUCAGCUAUGACGAAGCGCAAGUGACGGUAGUAGCAGAAGAAGGACCGGCCAACUACGUGCCAGCCGCCGCGGUAA